GACGAACGCUGGCGGCGUGCCUAAUACAUGCAAGUAGAACGCUGAAGGAGGAGCUUGCUCUUCUGGAUGAGUUGCGAACGGGUGAGUAACGCGUAGGUAACCUGCCUGGUAGCGGGGGAUAACUAUUGGAAACGAUAGCUAAUACCGCAUAAGAGUAGAUGUUGCAUGACAUUUACUUAAAAGGUGCAAUUGCCUCACUACCAGAUGGACCUGCGUUGUAUUAGCUAGUUGGUGGGGUAACGGCUUACCAAGGCGACGAUACAUAGCCGACCUGAGAGGGUGAUCGGCCACACUGGGACUGAGACACGGCCCAGACGCCUACGGGAGGCAGCAGGAGGGAAUCUUCGGCAAUGGACGGAAGUCUGACCGAGCAACGCCGCGGGAGUGAAGAAGGUUGUCGGAUCGUAAAGCUCUGUUGUAAGAGAAGAACGAGUGUGAGAGUGGAAAGUUCACACUGUGACGGUAUCUUACCAGAAAGGGACGGCUAACUACGUG
rnacentral:rRNA from 1 species